GACGAACGCUGGCGGCGUGCUUAACACAUGCAAGUCGAACGGUGAAGCGCCUUCCUUUUUGGUGGGUGUGGAUGAGUGGCGAACGGGUGAGUAACACGUGAGUAACCUGCCCCCUUCUUCUGGAUAACCGCAUGAAAGUGUGGCUAAUACGGGAUAUUCUGGGUCUGUCGCAUGAUGGGUCUGGGAAAGAUAUUGUUUCGGUGGGGGAUGGGCUCGCGGCCUAUCAGCUUGUUGGUGGGGUGAUGGCCUACCAAGGCGGUGACGGGUAGCCGGCCUGAGAGGGUGGACGGUCACACUGGGACUGAGGCACGGCCCAGACUCCUACGGGAGGCAGCAGUGGGGAAUAUUGCACAAUGGGCGCAAGCCUGAUGCAGCGACGCCGCGGGAGGGAUGGAGGCCUUCGGGUUGUGAACCUCUUUCGCCAGUGAAGCAGGCCUGCCUCGUUUGUGGGUGGGUUGACGGUAGCUGGAUAAGAAGCGCCGGCUAACUACGUG
rnacentral:rRNA from 1 species